GUCAGUCUCCAUGAAAGGCAGCAGUGGUGGAAAAUCAGACCAUGAAAAAGGAUUUAUGUUCAUCCUAUGAGUUUUACCAAGUCCUUGGCCUUUGAGCUUUGAGCAGGAGAAUUACAGGGCCUGAUCGACAUGAGGACAACUCUGGACAUGAGAAUAAGAAGGAAAUCAGCAGUGGGAAGGCAAUGGGAAAGAUCCAGAUUCCAGCAGAAUAUCAAAUGAGCAGAGCGAAAUAUCUGUUACAUACCACUCACUCCACUGACCUCAGUGAAACAUUUGUUUCACUAUCCAGAUGGAACAAUUGAAAUGUCUGCAUUAUUAAGAAGCAGUCAGGAUUCAUUAAGUUUCCAUUUGGCCUCGCCCCAGCCUCUCUUGUACUGCCUUUGGCCAAUAACCAUUCAUCAAGCAUUUGUUUGCCAUGAGCCUAUGAGACAGGAUCGUCUGCCCAAGUGGAAUCAGAAGCAUUUCACCUAAGAAUUGGGAAGAAUUUCAUGUCUGCUUGAAAAUAUGCUUUUCCAGGGCAGUUUUCCCUGCUCAUCUAUAAUUAUGGAAUUGAACAAUGCUGAUCUCUGACUCUGUCAAGCCAUGCUUCUAGGUAAAGGAGCUUGGUCACACUCAUUUGGUUACUGAUACAGAAACUCAAAUCUGGAAGCAACUGUGCUGGAAAAGGGUAGUGCGAGAAAGGGUCUUUGCAGAUGCAAUUCAUUAAGAUAAGAUGAAGUCAUGCUGGAUUCGGGUGGGCCUAAUAACCAGUGCCCUUAUGAGAAGAGGACAGGAUCCACAGAGAAUACCUAGAGCAGAAGGCCAUCUAAAGGCAGAAGCAGAGACUGGAGUAAUACACCCACCAGGGAAGGUAGGUUUGCCAGAGAAAAUCGCAUGCCGAGCUCACCUUGUCCGUGGACCAGCACACAAGCCAUGCCUGGACACCUCCCUCCACCAAGGCUGCCAGUCAGGGGAUUUCAGGUGGUUUCUUCAAUCGGAGUCUUGGCAGUUCUACACCUGUCCUCACUCCACAUGGGAUAUACGUGUAGAGACUACAUCGUGCUUUAACCUUGAGCGCUACUUCUUAAACCAAAACUUCUACUCAGCAGGGGGAAGAAAAAUGGACCAUGUUAUAACAAAUAACAUGGCGGUGAACUCUGUGGAUGGUGGAGUUGUUCUGUGUGCUCCAGUUCCUACCGAGAUUGUGCCUAACUCAUCAUGAAUCUCAGCAGCAGCAGCAUGGACACCAUCACCAGCAGAAGCGUUUGCAAGUAUCCAAUUAUGGGUUAGAGACUCUGCAAGGAAAUUACAUUCACCCAGCACCUGGCCAGAACCUAAGACUUGUUUCAGCACUUCUUGCAAUUAGCAGAGGGCAGUUGCCUCCGUGGUGUGUAGCCAGUUGGGGUGAUGAGCAAUUCUCCCCACAAAAGCCUCAUGAGACAUCUGGUGACUGAGUUCGCAAUGGCACUGCCUCAGUGUGUGUGCCCAUAAAAAGGCAAGCUGACAGUACCCGUCUAGGACAGGGUUCACCAGGCUUGUCUGUGCCUGCCUCUGCUAAGAUGCUCUCAAGGGACUGCUAGAUUCCCACCCUCUUUAUUUAACAGUUCUUCCAACAGAGAGGCAGAACCUACUUCAUUCAGCUGCUUUCCUCUCUCCCCAGUUUCAGAAUUACUAUAAUUGCCCAUUGCAGUUGUUCGGCAUUCAUGUCAAUUUCAGUACAAGCUGGAGAAUUCAGGAGAAGUUGUAAGGUGUGAGGGUUGGGAGUUGCAUCCACUUGUCAGGGAAAUUGCGAUGUCCGAGGCAGGUCUGAGGCCUUUGCUACUUGGAUCGCUCCAGCAGAAUGCAUUGAGGGAGGUCUCCAGGAAGAAAUGUCCCUCCAUGGCCAAUUGCAUGCCGCAUUGGGGAGGGAGGUGUCAAACAAUGGUAAAGUGGAUAGAUAGUAAAGUGUCUUUUACCAUCUCUUAUAAAGACAAGUGACACUCUGAGAUAAAAAGCCACAAGGCCUCUUCUAAAGUUUAUAUUUACAGAGGCUCUGUGACUGCAUGGCCACUUUUCUCAGCAGCUAUAGCAGGUCUUGGAAUAACAUUGCUUCAUUCAACAUCACUUUAUUAUAAUGUUGAUGAGAAAAAAUAUCGAUUCUCAGCUAAGGCCACUAUCUGUGUGGAGUUGUCAUGUUCUCCUCAUGUCUGUGUGGGUUUCCUGCCACAUCCCAAAGCUGUGCCCAUCUAGUGAAACAGAAUAUCACCUGGUCCCAGUGUGAGUGAAUGUGUGUGUGUGUGUGUGUGUGUGUGUGCGCGCGCAUGUGCGUGUGCCAUGGGAUGGGAUGGUGUCCUGUCCAGGGUGGGCUCCUGCCUGGCACCCGAGCUGCUGGGAUAGGCUCUG
rnacentral:lncRNA from 1 species